GCAGGGCGGUGCCCGGACCCCGGCAACAGCGCGCAGCGGGAGGGAGCGCGGGAGGGCGGCUCCCAGGUCCCGGGAGUCUCUUCGGCGUUACCCCCUGGAGUGGGAGCUGAGGGGAGCGAGAGGUUGGGGGUGGGUGCCUUCGAUGUGCGACCCCAGGCGUGAGGAUGGUGCUGUCCCCUUCCCCUCAGCCAGAGCUCUUAUUAUUGUGAAGGCAAACCUGCUGAAUUGUCUUUCACCUGCACGUGCAUCUUUGUACCCGAGGGAUCCUCCCACCUGCCUGGAAACUCAGCAAACCAACAGAGAUCGGGAAUGAAGACCCCCAAAGUCUUCAGCUAAUGACUUAUGGGAGCUGAUACAUAAAUAGCCCAGUUCCUGAAACUCUUGGUUCCCUGCUAAUGCACCUGAGAAAGCAGUAGAAGAUGGCCCAAGUCCUUGGGCCCCUGCACCCACAUGGGAGACCCAGAAGAAGCUCCUGACUCCUGGCUUUGGCAUGGCUCAACCCUGGCUGUUGCAUCCAUUAUGGGAAUGAACCAGUGGAGGGAAGACCUUUCUGUGUCCCUCUCUCACACUGUAACUGCCUUUCAAAUAAAUAAAUAAU